GACGAACGCUGGCGGCGUGCCUAAUACAUGCAAGUUGAGCGCUGAAGGUUGGUACUUGUACCAACUGGAUGAGCAGCGAACGGGUGAGUAACGCGUGGGGAAUCUGCCUUUGAGCGGGGGACAACAUUUGGAAACGAAUGCUAAUACCGCAUAAAAACUUUAAACACAAGUUUUAAGUUUGAAAGAUGCAAUUGCAUCACUCAAAGAUGAUCCCGCGUUGUAUUAGCUAGUUGGUGAGGUAAAGGCUCACCAAGGCGAUGAUACAUAGCCGACCUGGGAGGGUGAUCGGCCACAUUGGGACUGAGACACGGCCCAAACUCCUACGGGAGGCAGCAGUAGGGAAUCUUCGGCAAUGGACGAAAGUCUGACCGAGCAACGCCGCGUGAGUGAAGAAGGGUUUCGGAUCGUAAAACUCUGUUGGUAGAGAAGAACGUUGGGGAGAGUGGAAAGCUCAUCAAGUGACGGUAACUACCCAGAAAGGGACGGCUAACUACGUG
rnacentral:rRNA from 1 species